AACGUAGGUGGCGAGCGUUAUCCGGAUUUACUGGGCGUAAAGCGUGUGCAGGCGGCUUAUCAAGUGGUGUAUGAAAUAUCCAGCUCAACCUGGAGGGGUUAUGCCAGACUGGUAGGCUAGAGUGCGAGAGAGGGGCGUGGAAUUCCGGGUGUAGUGGUGAAAUGCGUAGAGAUCCGGAGGAACCCAGAGGCGAAGGCGGCG
rnacentral:rRNA from 1 species